GCCCAGCACCGAAUCCCAAAGGUAAUACUUUUUGGGAAAUGUGGUGUUUAAGAGGAUUCUUAUUCCUUACAAUUAUGACUGAGUCCAAGUCCAUCUUGAACGGGGCCACUGUCCAUAGAGGGUGCCAGGCCCGUGGAGACCGGUUGUAGUGUAAGGUGAAUCUCUCUUUAGAGUCGGGUUGCUUGAGAGUGCAUCCCAAAGUGGGUGGUAAACUCCAUCUAAGGCUAAAUAUAACCACGAGACCGAUAGCGAACAAGUACCGUGAGGGAAAGUUGAAAAGAACUUUGAAGAGAGAGUUCAAGAGUGCGUGAAACCGUUCAGGGGUAAACGGAGAAGUCCCGAAAAUCCGAAAAAGAAGAUUCACGUCUUUCCGCUUGUUUAUCUAAUUGAGUAAGAGACGACGUUUCAUAAAUUUUUUUUUUAUGUAUUUUCAAGUCUCAAGAUUUAUCUAAGAUUUUUAAGUAUGUCGCUCUUUACAUAAAUAGUUUAAACGCGGGGGACCGCACUUCUUCUUAUAGUAGGACGUCGCGACCCGUUUGUUUAUCGUUUUAGGAUUCUAAUAUGAUGCCUGUCCGAAAAUAAGUUUACGCUUAUUUUUGGUAGACUAUUGGUUUUCCAAACGUAAACGAACGGUAUCAAUUGACAGUGUUAAAUCGCUUAUUGCGUCUUUAGGCAAAAGAAAGAUUUUGUUUGUUUAUCUAUGACGGAACUAAAUAGUUUCGGCUAGUUAUCAUCAAGUCUGUUUGCUUUUGUUAUUUAAGACAGGUUUACAACACUUGUCAGCGACGCUAAAGUUUCGGGUACUUGUCCGACCCGUCUUGAAACACGGACCAAGGAGUCUAACAUGUGCGCAAGUCAUUGGGUUAUAAACCUAAAGGCGAAAUGAAAGUAAAAGGCUUUGCCUGAAGGGGGAUCGGCGUUUUGUUAAUUAUUGACUGCGCUUCGUACUCCUGGGGCAUCUAUUGCUUUUGGCUUUGAUGCACCUAGAGCGCACACGUUGGGACCCGAAAGAUGGUGAACUAUGCCUGGCCAGGACGAAGCCAGGGGAAACCCUGGUGGAGGUCCGUAGCGAUUCUGACGUGCAAAUCGAUCGUCGGAGCUGGGUAUAGGGGCGAAAGACUAAUCGAACCAUCUAGUAGCUGGUUCCCUCCGAAGUUUCCCUCAGGAUAGCUGGUACUCGAGUGUCAAGAGUCUCAUCCGGUAAAGCGAAUGAUUAGAGGUCUUGGGGUCGAAACGACCUCAACCUAUUCUCAAACUUUAAAUGGAUGAGAACUCUGGCUUUCUUAAAUAUUUAUUUUUGAAGCCAGAGAUUUGGAUCAGAGUACCAAGUGGGCCAAUUUUGGUAAGCAGAACUGGCGCUGCGGGAUGAACCGAACAUGGAGUUAAGGCGCCUAAACGACGCUCAUGAGAUACCAUGAAAGGCGUUGGUUGCUUAUGACAGCAGGACGGUGGCCAUGGAAGUCGGAAUCCGCUAAGGAGUGUGUAACAACUCACCUGCCGAAGCAACUAGCCCUGAAAAUGGAUGGCGCUGUAGCGUCGUGCCUAUACUCCAUCGUCAACGGCAAAGUGGGCGGUAUUUAUAAAAUAUUGCGCCGUUAAGCCUUGACGAGUAGGAGGGUCGCGACGAUAAGCGUGGAAGGGUCUGGGCGUGAGCCUGCCCGGAGCUAUCGUCGGUGCAGAUCUUGGUGGUAGUAGCAAAUACUCCAGCGAGGCCCUGGAGGACUGAUGUGGAGAAGGGUUUCCUGUGAACAGCCAUUGCACAAGAGUCAGUCGAGCCUAAGCCCUAGGAGAAAUCCGAUGCCGAUAAAUGCAUUUCUUUUUCAUUAUUUUUUUUUUUUUUUUAAAUUGAGAAAAUUAAAUUAAAAUUUUAAAUAAAUUCAUUUUUAACUAUUAACUAGUUAAUAGAAGAAUUUUUUUUUGAAAUUUUUUUUUUUUUUUAAAAAAAAUAUAAAAUAUAAAAAAAUUUGAAGGCGUUUGGUGGGCGAAAGGGAAUCCGGUUCCUAUUCCGGAACCCGGCAGCGGAACCGUUUCAAAGCGGGCCCUUGCAUAAGAGCUCGUCGGGGUAACCCAAAAGGACCCGGAGACGCCGUCGGGAUGUCCGGAGAGAGUUGUCUCUUCUCUAUAAGCGUUCGAGUUCCCUGGAAACCUUUAGCAGGGAGAUAGGGUUUGGAACGCGAAGAGCACCGCAGUUACAGCGGUGUCCGGAUAUUCCCCUCGGACCUUGAAAAUCCGGGAGAGGGCCACGAGGAACACCGAGCCGGUUCGUACCAUAUCCGCAGCAGGUCUCCAAGGUUAACAGCCUCUAGUCGAUAGAAUAAUGUAGGUAAGGGAAGUCGGCAAGCUUGAUCCGUAACUUCGGGAUAAGGAUUGGCUCUGAGGGUCGUGGCGUGCCGGGCUUGGUUGGGAAGUGGGGUUGUGUCAACGUGCCGGGCCUGGGCGAGAUACAAGUGAAUGCUUGCAAUUGAGCUCGGUCCCGUGCCUUGAUCACCCGCGGGUCUUC
rnacentral:rRNA from 1 species